rnacentral:rRNA from 1 species
ACGCUGGCGGCAUGCUUUACACAUGCAAGUCGGACGGCAGCACAGAGAAGCUUGCUUCUUGGGUGGCGAGUGGCGAACGGGUGAGUAAUAUAUCGGAACGUACCGAGUAAUGGGGGAUAACUAAUCGAAAGAUUAGCUAAUACCGCAUAUUCUCUGAGGAGGAAAGCAGGGGACCUUCGGGCCUUGCGUUAUUCGAGCGGCCGAUAUCUGAUUAGCUAGUUGGUGGGGUAAAGGCCUACCAAGGCGACGAUCAGUAGCGGGUCUGAGAGGAUGAUCCGCCACACUGGGACUGAGACACGGCCCAGACUCCUACGGGAGGCAGCAGUGGGGAAUUUUGGACAAUGGGCGCAAGCCUGAUCCAGCCAUGCCGCGUGUCUGAAGAAGGCCUUCGGGUUGUAAAGGACUUUUGUCAGGGAAGAAAAGGCUGUUGCUAAUAUCGACAGCUGAUGACGGUACCUGAAGAAUAAGCACCGGCUAACUACGUGCCAGCAGCCGCGGUAAUACGUAGGGUGCGAGCGUUAAUCGGAAUUACUGGGCGUAAAGCGAGCGCAGACGGUUACUUAAGCAGGAUGUGAAAUCCCCGGGCUCAACCUGGGAACUGCGUUCUGAACUGGGUGACUAGAGUGUGUCAGAGGGAGGUAGAAUUCCACGUGUAGCAGUGAAAUGCGUAGAGAUGUGGAGGAAUACCGAUGGCGAAGGCAGCCUCCUGGGAUAACACUGACGUUCAUGCUCGAAAGCGUGGGUAGCAAACAGGAUUAGAUACCCUGGUAGUCCACGCCCUAAACGAUGUCGAUUAGCUGUUGGGCAGCUUGAUUGCUUAGUAGCGUAGCUAACGCGUGAAAUUGACCGCCUGGGGAGUACGGUCGCAAGAUUAAAACUCAAAGGAAUUGACGGGGACCCGCACAAGCGGUGGAUGAUGUGGAUU